rnacentral:rRNA from 1 species
GAUGAACGCUGGCGGCGUGCUUAACACAUGCAAGUCGAACGGUGAAGCAGGAGCUUGCUCCUGUGGAUCAGUGGCGAACGGGUGAGUAACACGUGAGCAAUCUGCCCUGGACUCUGGGAUAAGCGUUGGAAACGACGUCUAAUACCGGAUACGAGGCGUGGGGGCAUCCCCAACGCCUGGAAAGAACUUCGGUCCAGGAUGAGCUCGCGGCCUAUCAGGUAGUUGGUGAGGUAACGGCUGACCAAGCCUACGACGGGUAGCCGGCCUGAGAGGGUGACCGGCCACACUGGGACUGAGACACGGCCCAGACUCCUACGGGAGGCAGCAGUGGGGAAUAUUGCACAAUGGGCGCAAGCCUGAUGCAGCGACGCCGCGUGAGGGACGACGGCCUUCGGGUUGUAAACCUCUUUUAGCAGGGAAGAAGCGAAAGUGACGGUACCUGCAGAAAAAGCACCGGCUAACUACGUGCCAGCCGCCGCCGUAACAC